rnacentral:lncRNA from 1 species
CUAGAUCGGGAUCGCGCCAUGGCGCGAGGGUGCCGGUCUCAACGUACUGUCGAAGCAUGUAACAAUAUGUCAGUAGAAACUCAAGUAUAGCAUUUGCACUUACACAGGAUCAUAAUAAAAUAAAAUAAACAUUGAAUAGCGAUAGAAGUAAAACACAAUGGAUCUCAAGAUCAACAUCAGAUUAUAAGACAGGAUCAAGCACAGUAUCGACAGGCACAGUGUUACAUGUAAAACAAGUGAGGAGACAUGAAAUAGAAUCCAUUACGAGCAUACUAAAUAAGCCAGUCAAUUAUGUCCUUGCAUUCACCAGCAACCAACAGCUAAACAGACCCCACACAAAAGCAAAGACCAAUUCAGAUCCGAGUACUAACAGCCAUUAGUCUUUCGCGAACACCACACUAACUAAAGUUUCCCGGGGUCGGCGGAACAGAACAUCGAUUCAUAAACAGCAUGACACGACAAAUGGGACAAUAGACCUAGAGCGAAGCUUCACCGUCUAACCCGCGUCGCGAUGUCCAUUCGCUAGGUGAUCACUUCGAGCACGCACAUAACCAACAGUGUGAUCCUGAAAAAACAGAAGCUAAAAUGAAAACCAAAUUGGGUAUAGCACAAAAGGUAGUUAAUGAUAGAAAAGGCAGUGGACAGACACACCAAAAGAAUAGGCUCUCCAAUGCCGCCUGAACUACAGCUUGAGCCUUUUAGCCACAUUGGAGCCGUCUCCUUCUGCCGCCAGGUCAUCAGUUGAUUUACUUCAUGGACAAACAACGAGCUUGUAAAAGAAGGCAGCAAUGACGCAUAUACUGUUAGACACUUGCUUCAAAUCAAAGCCAUAUACCUAGAGGUAGCAGCAAGAUCAUCACCGAGAACAACAGAGCCACCAUCCAGUUUUGCACCCCCCUGGCAGGUAUAAACAAAUAUACCAUGUCAACCGAUCACCAAAUAAUCAUGUGAUCAGGUCUGGAUGAAUCCUCACCAAGCAAACAAAAGAAAAUAUAGUAUGCUACAUUACAUCUUAAGUACAAGUGUAGAUAAUUUGAUAUCCGAUAUAACAGAUGCUUUAGUUAACCAAACUCAAAGGACCAAGACUCUAGUCAGAUGAUUCUAAAAUAACAUCAAGAUUUAUUUGUUUUAUUAUAUUGUUAGCCAAUUAUGCGAGGUAUUUCUAACGCAUCUUGAUGUUAUUUUAGAAUCUGAAGCAUUCUCCUAUUUAUUUGUUAGCACACAUAAAUGCAAACUUGAGUUAUUCUGUUCAAGCAUACAACAAAAACAAGUUGAAAAUACUACAGAUUCGAAAGCACAAGUAAAGCCUACAAGAAUGAUUCUCUUAUUUAUUUGUUACCACACAUAAAUACAAACUUGAGUUAUUAUGUUCAAGCAUACAACAAAAACAAGUUGAAAAUACUACAGAUUCAAAAGCACAAGUGAAGCCUAUAGGCUGAAACUAUUGCAGAUUCAAAAAACACAUACCAUUUUUAAUUUCAAAUUGAGCAUAGAUAUGAACCUGAAUUAUUUUAUCUGAACAUAUGAUUAGGAUAAAUCUAUGGUUAGGAUAAGCCUAAAAGAGCUAGAUUUACAUGCCUGAGACACCGUAGAUUUUCUAUUCAAGCAUAUAGUCAGGAUAAUCCGAAAUAAGUAGAACCCUGAACCAUCGCUUAUCCCAGAAUAACAAAGUGCAACUUACUCUUAACCAGAUUAGAUCAAGGACCAACAACAAACAAUAAAAGAUCAAAGGUAUGAGAGAGAAGAAAUCUUUACAUAAGACGGCUAUAAACACUGGAGCAUAAAUAAGCAACACCUUUAAAUAAAAUUAGAAGGGUUCAGUGUUCAAUGCAUAGUGGGCUCAGAUUCGCCUUUCCUCGAUCAUAUAAUCUACCCCCAUCAUCUCUUUCACCAGAUCAAUCUGUUUAUACAGUGGAUCUGCCCUGGUUAUCAUUCAACAAGAAUGACCAUCCAAGGACAGAACAAUAAGUAUCACAGGAUCAAAAAGGAUUCUAGAGACGAGGAGGAGGAUCCAACUUGAUACCCAUAGGCGCCUCGAUUGCUCAAAGGCACACUUAUUUCAGCCACGGCUAAUCAUCAUCGCCCUAGCAAGAAUGGCUUCCGACCAAUGGGGCACGUGAUUCAAACGCGGUGGCACGAUAUAUCUCACCGCGGUAGUAACUAUUAAUGGCUACAGGAGCUCUGGCUCGAUCCUACGGCUGAGAUCAAUCCGGAGCGAGAUCCGGCAGCCAGAAUCGCAUCAAGAAACCGAUCCGACGGCCGAAAGUGCCUGAGCUAUGAGGAGCCAGGUGAGGUGCUUCGUUUCUUCUUUCUCGAUGGAUCACCAGAUCAAUAUUUUCUUAUGACGGUGAAACUGCCCUGGUUAUCACUCAUCAGAAAUGAUCAUCCAAGGACAGAGCCACUAAAAUAAGAACAUGAUCAAAAUGGCUCAAAGAAAUGAGGGGGAUCCAAAUUAAUACCCACAAGUGCCUCAAUUGCUCGAGAGCAUGCCUAUAUCAGCCAUAACUGAUCAUCGUAGCCCUGGCCAUGUCCCAUGCAGUAGCCGAAGCAGAGCAGGAGGAAGAUGGAGCUCACCGAGGGAGGUUGUAGCUGAGGCAGUACUCAGUGGGCGCCGGGGUGGCGCCUGAACGCCGUCCAGCCGGCAAGGAACCGCUUCCUACACCGCACAUCCACGACGCUGCAUCGGAGUUGCGCCUUGCACCGUCCAACCGAUGAGCACAAGGAUGAGGUCAUGCAUAGCACAUCUAGGAGCUUCCUGAUGGCUGGCUAGCACAAGGGAGGGCCGACGCGAUCCCGCAUCAACGACAUGAAUUUGCAUAAAUCCAUCCUUGCUCUUACCAUGUUUUCUGCAAAACACACACAGAGCCCAAGCAUGUUAAUAGAGCACAACCAGAAUCUUCUAUCUCAUAUGGAGAUUAAAAGGAACAACAAUAAAGGACAUAUGAAACCAGUGGCUCAAAUUUACACACAUGAUCAAGAAAAUGGCAGAGUGGGCAGCAUAUAUAUGCAGCAAUCCAUCUCCAUGCUCUUAUCAUGUUUUAUAAAAUCCAGAGUGACGCCUACCAUCAGCAACAUAACUUGCAUAAAGUGACACCUACGAUUAGUAAUACUGGAAUAAACCUCACUAUAAAUUAGAGCACGUUGAUACUCUUUACAGGGAUAAAUUAGAGCAAAAACUGGAAAACAAAUUAUGGUUACAUACUAUCUUCAGGCAUGUCCUACAGUGAAAUAGAGACUGAGCAGUGAGGGAAGGUGAGAAAGAAAUUAUAUUUGAUGAGAAUCGAUUUUGGUCCUUAGUAUUACAUGGAUUUAUCAGUCGAUGCACAUGAAGGGUGGCUUUAGAAUUUUCUUGUCUUACUUAAAAAAACAGAUCUACUCAGCAUGCACAUAUGAGACAUACAUUCAGAGAUCAGGAGAACCAACUAAUGUCACCGUUAUUAUUUUUUAGCAAGCACUCUAUCGUUAUACUGGUCUCAAAUUUGCGCAUCCGAUUUUGCAGCUUUAUUGACCAUAAAGCAACAAUAUAAAAAUUUACCAUGAAGAACAUUGCACAUCACCCGUCCAUAAAUCAUGAAUUGCACAAAAGAAUAAAAGACAAACAAGAGGGAGCUGGUAUACCUACGAACAAGAUGGAAUUGGCAAGGUUGCCGACAAGGAAGUCCAACUCUGUCCAAGGACUCCUACACUUUUGGGAUAGAUGUUGUCGCACACAGAGCAGGCCCUAGCCAUGGAAUUGAGCGGAGCUCAGGGGAGAGGUGGACAAUGCCGCGAAGAUGAGAGCACACCUACAACAAUCAUUCUAGAGAGCUCAAGGUAAGGCCUGUAAAAAAUAGCCAGCAAUAGAAUUAGGCAACAGAAAUAUCAACCUAACCAAGUAUGUAAGAUUUAAGACUAUAAGGCAUGCACGGAAGCAAACAAUCAAGGCUGAGAAACAAGUGUCAUGCCUAAUUGCUCUUUAUUGCUGUUGUAAACUAAAACAGAAACCACCACAAACAACUAUAUAUUGUGCAUACAUUAAUCAGGGGCACAUUAAAACAAAAAAGCAUCUAGUGGGGUACUCCUAAUUAUCGUAUGACCUCAAGAAAUUUGGCAGGCCUAACGCCCCUCCUCAACAACAAAGCCAUAAUGUAUGAAAAAACCUAGCUAGAUCCAACGCUCCCCUGGACAACAAGGUACCCGCAAAAAAAGGCAGAUCCAAAAAUCCCCUUCCUCUAUUUUAGCCUUCAUCUCUCACCAGAUCCAUUUAUUCAUCCAAAAACACCCAUCAUAAGGGCCACACAAAAGCACUAAAGCAUCUCAUGGGGUACUCCUAAUUAUCACAUGAUCUAUCACAUUUGGGUACCUUCCUUUGUAUUCUUGAGUACAGUGUGAUGAACAUUAUUCAAUGAGAAACCAAUUUUGGCUAGCAAGAACACAGGGUAAGCCUCAAACUCACCAUGGCUAGGAAAAGGUCGCCGCACGCAUGAGAGCCAAUUUCAAUUUCCAAGAACAGAGGGUAAACUCCAAACUCACCAUGGAAUCCUGCCUUUGCUUCGCUCCUGCUUCUUCUGACAAAAUUAACAAAGUUCAGAAAAGAUUAGUAGGAGCACGAGAUCCUUGAGGCACAAACUCCGGACAUCAAAAAUUACUUUUUGAAAAGAAUAAGCAUUUUGACCUUUGUUAGGCUAAACAAAAAAAGAAAGAUCGUGAUAAUAUUUAGAUGACAAUCAAGGUGGUUUGCACAAUCUGACAUAUAAGUUCUAACUACACAUGGAUAAAGACAGAUGGCCAAUUACCUGAUAGACCUAUUGUUGUGGUUAUGUUGUUGUCCAUCCAAUAGAAAAGAAGAUGUAUCCUUUCUUCUGUAGGAAUCUGAGAGGGACACACAAGUUGUUCCAAGUUGUCCUGACCAAAGACAGAGUCAGUAUAAGACCAAAAGAAGUAGACCAACAAUCUUGACACAUCUCAUAUUCAAAUGCAUAUGCAGAAAGACCAAUUUGUCUCCUAGUAUCAGAUAGGAACAAAAAAUUCCUCGAGAAAGGACACAGCCUCAGGACAAAUCGGUCCUCCUAAAUAGAAAAUAAACAGGUACCCAACAAGCUAAGGAAGGCAACAAAAACUACUGUGCAGAUACCUAGGACACAUCUAGUUCUACCCACCCCCUCAAUUCUAACCUAUUCACACAAUGCAAAACUGAAGAACACAACAUCAUGAGAAAAAAAUGCAAAGCUGGAUCUGCCUCUCUAUGAACACCACACCAAGUUGCUA